rnacentral:rRNA from 1 species
UACGGGAGGCAGCAGUGGGGAAUAUUGCACAAUGGGCGAAAGCCUGAUGCAGCUAUGCCGCGUGUAUGAAGAAGGCCUUAGGGUUGUAAAGUACUUUCAUCGGGGAGGAAAAACAAAACUAAUAAUUUUAUUUCUUGACGUUACCCGAAAAAGAAGCACCGGCUAACUCCGUGCCAGCAGCCGCGGUAAUACGGAGGGUGCUAGCGUUAAUCAGAAUUACUGGGCGUAAAGAGCACGUAGGUGGUUUUUUUAAGUCAGAUGUGAAAUCCCUGGGCUUAACCUAGGAACUGCAUUUUGAAACUGAAAUACUAGAGUAUCGUAGAGGGAGGUAGAAUUCUAGGUGUAGCGGUGAAAUGCGUAGAUAUCUGGAGGAAUACCUGUGGCGAAAGCGGCCUCCUAAACGAAUACUGACACUGAGGUGCGAAAGCGUGGGGAGCAGGACAGGGAUUAGAUACC